rnacentral:rRNA from 1 species
GGGGAAUGGCGGCGUGCUACCAUGCAGUCGAGCGAGGACAAUGAAGUAGCAAUACGACACUGUUCUAGCGGCGGACGGGUGAGUAACGCGUGAGCAACCUGUCCCGAACAGGGGGAUAACGAGCCGAAAGGCUCACUAAUACCGCAUGAGACCACAACGUCACAUGACGAAGGGGUCAAAGGAGAAAUCCGGUUCGGGGUGGGCUCGCGUCUGAUUAGCUAGUUGGUGGGGUAACGGCCUACCAAGGCGACGAUCAGUAGCCGACCUGAGAGGGUGAUCGGCCACAUUGGAACUGAGAGACGGUCCAAACUCCUACGGGAGGCAGCAGUGGGGAAUAUUGGGCAAUGGGCGAAAGCCUGACCCAGCAACGCCGCGUGAAGGAAGAAGGUCUUCGGAUCGUAAACUUCUAUCCCCGGUGAAGAUAAUGACGGUAACCGGGAAGGAAGCCCCGGCUAACUACGUGCCAGCAGCCGCGGUAAUACAUAGGGGGCAAGCGUUGUCCGGAAUGAUUGGGCGUAAAGGGCGCGUAGGCGGCUCGGUAAGUCUGGAGUGAAAUUCCUGCUUUCAAGGUGGGAACUGCUUUGGAUACUGUCGGGCUUGAGUGCAGGAGAGGUAAGUGGAAUUCCCGGUGUAGCGGUGAAAUGCGUAGAGAUCGGGAGGAACACCAGUGGCGAAGGCGACUUACUGGACUGUAACUGACGCUGAGGCGCGAAAGUGUGGGGAGCAAACAGGAUUAGAUACCCUGGUAGUCCACACUGUAAACGAUGAAUGCUAGGUGUAGGGGGUAUCGACCCCUUCUGUGCCGGAGUCAACACAAUAAGCAUUCCGCCUGGGGAGUACGGCCGCAAGGUUGAAACUCAAAGGAAUUGACGGGGGCCCGCACAAGCAGCGGAGCAUGUGGUUUAAUUCGAGGCAACGCGAAGAACCUUACCAGGUCUUGACAUCCAGUAAAACUUGUAGAGAUAUAAAGUGUGCUUGCACAUACUGAGACAGGUGGUGCAUGGUUGUCGUCAGCUCGUGUCGUGAGAUGUUGGGUUAAGUCCCGCAACGAGCGCAACCCUUGUGAUCAGUUACUAACGGGUAAAGCCGAGGACUCUGAUAAGACUGCCGGGGACACUCGGAGGAAGGUGGGGACGACGUCAAAUCAUCAUGCCCUUAUGACUGGGGCUACCACGUGCUA